GGAAUAUUGGUCAAUGGCCGCAGGGCUGAACCAGCCAAGUCGCGUGAGGGAAGACGGCCCUACGGGUUGUAAACCUCUUUUGCCGGGGAGUAACGUGGCGCACGCGUGCGCCAGUGAGAGUACCCGGAGAAAAAGCAUCGGCUAACUCCGUGCCAGCAGCCGCGGUAAUACGGAGGAUGCGAGCGUUAUCCGGAUUUAUUGGGUUUAAAGGGUGCGCAGGCGGCUGCUUAAGUCAGCGGUUAAAAUUCGGGGCUCAACCCCGUCAUGCCGUUGAAACUGGGCUGGCUGGAGUGCGCGCGACGAAGGCGGAAUGCGUGGUGUAGCGGUGAAAUGCAUAGAUAUCACGCAGAACUCCGAUUGCGAAGGCAGCCUUCGAGUGCGUCACUGACGCUCAUGCACGAAAGCGUGGGUAUCGAACA
rnacentral:rRNA from 1 species